rnacentral:lncRNA from 1 species
GUCUUUAGAUAUGAAGUCCUUGGUCUAUUUGAAGGACUUUGAGGUCAAGGUCAAAGGUCAAGGUCAUGUUAUAAAUUUUGAAUUUUGCUUGUUAUCGUUAUUCAAAAGAAACUGUUACAGUUAAUGAAAUGAUAUGUUUGCCAAAUUACUGUUUACAAUAAGGCGCAACUUCAACCUAUUCAGUCGAAGUGUUUUGGUUAACCCUUAUAGGAGUUUUCUCCCCUUAUAUAUUUGAAAUCAUUAUUUCUCCACAACCAUACAAGUGAUUGACCUCGGGCCUUUCGAUUUGAGUUCCCUGACAUAUGACAUUGAAUUUGAGGUCAAGGUUGAAGGUCAAGGUCAUAUUCAAAAUUUGUGGAUUUUGCUUGUAAUCUAUAUUCAAAAGAAACUGUAACAGUUAAUGAUAUGAUGUGUUU